rnacentral:rRNA from 1 species
GACGAACGCUGGCGGCGUGCUUAACACAUGCAAGUCGAACGGAAAGGCCCUGCUUUUGUGGGGUGCUCGAGUGGCGAACGGGUGAGUAACACGUGAGUAACCUGCCCUUGACUUUGGGAUAACUUCAGGAAACUGGGGCUAAUACCGGAUAGGAGCUCCUGCUGCAUGGUGGGGGUUGGAAAGUUUCGGCGGUUGGGGAUGGACUCGCGGCUUAUCGGCUUGUUGGUGGGGUAGUGGCUUACCAAGGCUUUGACGGGUAGCCGGCCUGAGAGGGUGACCGGCCACAUUGGGACUGAGAUACGGCCCAGACUCCUACGGGAGGCAGCAGUGGGGAAUAUUGCACAAUGGGCGGAAGCCUGAUGCAGCAACGCCGCGUGCGGGAUGACGGCCUUCGGGUUGUAAACCGCUUUCGCCUGUGACGAAGCGUGAGUGACGGUAAUGAGUAAAGAAGCACCGGCUAACUACGUG